UACGUAGGGGGCAAGCGUUGUCCGGAUUCAUUGGGCGUAAAGAGCGUGUAGGCGGCCAGGUAGGUCGGUUGUGAAAACUGGAGGCUCAACCUUCAGAGGUCGACCGAAACCAUCUGGCUAGAGUCCGGGAGAGGAGAGUGGAAUUCCUGGUGUAGCGGUGAAAUGCGCAGAUAUCAGGAAGAACACCGGUGGCGAAGGCGGCCCGCUGGGCUGUGGCUGACGCUGAGGCGCGACAGCGUGGGGAGCAAACAGG
rnacentral:rRNA from 1 species